rnacentral:rRNA from 1 species
GGCAGAGGGUGCAAACGUUGUUCGGAAUUACUGGGCGUAAAGCGAGUGUAGGCGGUUCGGUAAGUCGGAUGUGAAAGCCCCGGGCUCAACCCGGGAAGUGCACUCGAUACUGCCGAGCUAGAGUAUCGGAGAGGUUGGUGGAAUUCUCGGUGUAGAGGUGAAAUUCGUAGAUAUCGAGAGGAACACCGGUGGCGAAGGCGGCCAACUGGACGAAUACUGACGCUGAGACUCGAAAGCGUGGGGAGCAAACAGG